AUUGAACGCUGGCGGCAUGCUUUACACAUGCAAGUCGAACGGCAGCACGGGCUUCGGCCUGGUGGCGAGUGGCGAACGGGUGAGUAAUAUAUCGGAACGUACCCAGAAGUGGGGGAUAACGUAGCGAAAGUUACGCUAAUACCGCAUACGAUCUAUGGAUGAACGCAGGGGACCGCAAGGCCUUGUGCACCUGGAGCGGCCGAUAUCUGAUUAGCCAGUUGGUGAGGUAAAGGCUCACCAAGGGGACGAUCAGUACCUGGUCUGAGAGGACGACCAGCCACACUGGAACUGAGACACGGUCCAGACUCCUACGGGAGGCAGCAGUGGGGAAUUUUGGACAAUGGGCGCAAGCCUGAUCCAGCAAUGCCGCGUGAGUGAAGAAGGCCUUCGGGUUGUAAAGCUCUUUUGUCAGGGAAGAAGCGGUAGAGGCUAAUAUCCUUUGCUAAUGACGGUACCUGAAGAAUAAGCACCGGCUAACUACGUG
rnacentral:rRNA from 1 species